rnacentral:rRNA from 1 species
UACGUAGGGGGGCAAGCGUUUGUCCGGAAUCAUUGGGCGUAAAGCGCGCGUAGGCGGCUAGAUCAGUCUGCUGUAAAAAGUCAAAGGCUCAACCUUUGAAAAGCCGGUGGAUACUGUCUAGCUAGAGUCCGGAAGAGGCGAGUGGAAUUCCUGGUGUAGCGGUGGAAUGCGCAGAUAUCAGGAGGAACACCAACGGCGAAGGCAGCUCGCUGGGACGGUACUGACGCUAAGGCGCGAAAGCGUGGGGAGCGAACAGG